GCUGGAAUAGCUCAGUUGGUUAGA
rnacentral:siRNA from 1 species